GACGAACGCUGGCGGCGUGCUUAACACAUGCAAGUCGAACGGAGCGAAUGAAAGCUUGCUUUUAUGCGCUUAGUGGCAAACGGGUGAGUAACACGUAGACAACCUGCCGACAGGAUGGGGACAACAUUCCGAAAGGAAUGCUAAUACCGAAUGAAGCGGAGGAGAGGCAUCUCUCCUCCGUGAAAGAUGGCCUCUUUUUAUGCUAUCACCUGUCGAUGGGUCUGCGUCUGAUUAGCUGGUUGGUGAGGUAACGGCUCACCAAGGCGACGAUCAGUAGCCGGUCUGAGAGGAUGAACGGCCACAUUGGGACUGAGACACGGCCCAGACUCCUACGGGAGGCAGCAGUGGGGAAUCUUCCGCAAUGGGCGCAAGCCUGACGGAGCAACGCCGCGUGAGUGAAGAAGGUCUUCGGAUCGUAAAGCUCUGUUGAUGGGGACGAACGUACGGGGUGCGAAUAGUGCCUUUAA
rnacentral:rRNA from 1 species